GACACUGAUAUCGUCGGACAAAAAAUGGCAUCCUCUUCUCCUCACAGCUGCAAAAUCGCUGAAUCCUGGCAUGAUUAAUAAUGUAGCAACAGUAGAGAUCCAUCAAACUAAGCACAUAGAAGUGGUGUAGGAGAAGCUGGCUAAAGGGAUUGACGGUUCCGUAAGGCAAGUAUUUAACCGAUUCACACCAAAGAUUGCCCCAUGAUCCGUCGAAGCAAAACGAGCAAAAGGAGAAGCUCAAAAGCAACCAAAUGAGGGACACCGGUACCACCUCAAGGACAGUGAGUGUGCAACUGUGCAUAGAGUACGUACAAUUGGAGAUGCCCAAACUACUUAUCCCAAACACAAAUCUCCUAAGCCAUCGUUACCAUGUGCACUACUUAUCAGUGCUACUUAUUAAUCUCAACAUUAAUCUAUGUUUACUCAUUGCCUUAA